rnacentral:rRNA from 1 species
CCUACGGGUGGCAGCAGUGGGGAAUAUUGCACAAUGUGGGGAACCCUGAUGCAGCGACGUCGCGUGAGUGAAGAAGUAUUUCGGUAUGUAAAGCUCUAUCAGCAGGGAAGAAACUGACGGUACCUGACUAAGAAGCCCCGGCUAACUACGUGCCAGCAGCCGCGGUAAGACGUAGGGCGCACGCGUUAUCCGGAUUUACUUGGUGUAAAGGGAGCGCAGACGGCUUUGCAAGUCUGGAGUGAAAGGCGGGGGCCCAACCCCCGGACUGCUCUGGAAACGGUACAGCUGGAGUGCAGGAGAGGUAAGAGGAAUUCCUGGUGGAGCGGUGAAAUGCGUAGAUAUUAGGAGGAACACCAGGGGCGAAGGCGGCUUACUGGAGUGCAACUGACGUUGAGGCUCGAAAGCGUGGGGAGCAAACAGGAUUAGAUACCCUGGUAGUC